rfam:Ictidomys tridecemlineatus contig062182, whole genome shotgun sequence.
GGGGUUGUGGCUCAGCGGUAGAGCACUCACCUGGAACGUGAGGGACCCUGGUUCGAUCCUCAUAACCACA